GUACGAGGUGUUUACGACGAUUUUGGUUACGAGGUGUUUACGACGAUUCCGUCCUACGUGGAAUUAAAGUGGGCCGCGUUCAUCAUUUACUUUACGUGGUAUUUACGACGAAUCUCUCCUACGUGGUAUUUACGACGAAUCUGUCCUACGUGGUAUUUACGACGAAUCUGUCCUACGUGGUAUUUACGACGAAUCUGUCCUACGUGGUAUUUACGAGGAAUUCGUCGUAAGUUCGACGUUAACAUACGAGGAAUUAACGAGUAUUCCAUUUAAAUCCCUAAAACCCGAAACCCCAAACCCCAAACCCCAUAUUCCUUAUCUUCUACUUCAUAUAUUCCAAACCCUAUCUUUAUUUUCAUUCCAAACCACAAUUACUUAUUUUCAUUCACUCAGAGAGUCUUACGUGGAAUUAGCGUGCCCCGCUUUCUUUAUUUUUUUUAAUUUCGUCGUAAACUCCUCGUGGCCUUACGACAACCUUACGACGAUUUUGGCUUGCGUGGAAUUAGCGUGCCCCGCUUUCUUUAUUUUUUUUAAUUUCGUCGUAAACUCCUCGUGGCCUUACGACAACCUUACGACGAUUUUGGCUUACGAGGAAUUAACGAGUAUUACGUAUAAAUCCCUAAAAUCCGAAACCCCAAACCCCAUCUUACUUAUCUUCUACUUCAUAUAUUCCAAACCCCAAACCCAUCUACCCUUGAACCUCAAUCUAUUCUUUCGCCUCAAACCCUAUUUAUAAAAUAUUCCAAACCCCAAAC
rnacentral:lncRNA from 1 species